GCCCGAGUGGCGGAAUGGUAGACGCAGCGGAUUCAAAAUCCGCCGCCGCAAGGUAUGUCGGUUCGAGUCCGACCUCGGGCACCA
rnacentral:tRNA from 1 species